UGGAAAAGCCCUGUUAUCUGGGGUGAGUUUUGCAGGAUUGCAUCCGGCUUUAUUACAACAUGCUGUGCAAAUCCAUGCAAAACUCGCUGCGCCAGGGACAAACCA
ensembl:miRNA mir19c microRNA 19c